CUCCAUCAACACUGCUUUCAGGCUGUUUAUUGCUUUUUACAAAAGGCUCAGGAGUUCUUGCCUUUCUUCUUUUAGGUGACUCAGCUGAACUUUUAAGGUUGAGAAACCUCCCACAUGGAAAGUAUUUGGUGCCUCUCCUAAUUCUGGACAGGCAGGGAUUCUCUAUGAAGCAGAAUCUGUCUGUGAGGCUCUGCCGUUGUCCAGAUGGACGCGUAUGCGAAGAUCCGAACUCCGUGCAAUUAAGUCUUGGAGGUGGCGCCAUUGCUAUGAUUUUGGCAGCCCUCUUGUUAUUUCUAGUGGCAGGCUGUCUUGUGCUGCGGUGUUCAUGUGGGUCUGAAAACAGGAAAAGCCAAGCCCAUCUCCCUUUUGAAGAAGGCAUCCAGACUUUAAUCAAGUACAAUGAAGAGUGUGAAAACGUUUUGUCUCAGGAUGUAAAUGGAAUGGCACCAUCUCUCUCCCUUACAUCCAGUCGAGGACACUCUGACCAAGGUCUAUGUAGUGCCAGUACAAUGGUCCAGGCCAGACCAGUAAGUGACAACCACAGUUCCCACGGGGUCUACAAUUCUAGGCGGGUGGAGACACUCCACAGAAGACCCCUCACUGUGACUGUAGAAACAGUGGGUGAAAUGUUGAAUCAGAGGCUCUAUCACUUCAGCAACCUGGAGGAGGACAUAGUCACUUACCAACCUCACAUCUAUGCCGAGGAGGGAAAGCUAGAGAGAAGUGACUCUUUCAGGUCCCUGCUCAUUGAUGACGAUGAACUGCCCAAGGAUUUCUUGGAUGCCCUGGGACCAAAGUUCAUCGCUCUGGGUGAAAUCUGCCAGAAGUGAUUUCAGUCACAGCCACUCUCAUAGGAACCAUGGAAUGGUGGGGACCUUCCCAAACAGGUUUGAAAGAGACUCAACCCAAGCACAAACAUCUGCUGACCUUUGGUGGCACUCUCCUAGAGGGAAUGUCCCCAGAGUUGUACGUGUGGCUGAGAGAUACACUAUAAACAGGUCUGGAUUUGUAUUGUUUCUGUUUAAACUUGAUGCCGGGUCGCUCCCCUUUGGGUUCUCUGCCUGGCUUGACAGGCCCUUAGUUGUGAGCAGAGAGCUCUUUCUUUUAGAACAGUUACUCCAACUCUCUCUGAGCUGAAGAGACUGAAGUGUAGGUCCAAUCUGGUCAGGUCCUAGGCAUCAAGCAUCCCUAUCCGCCUGCAGUCAGCAGGUCUCCCCUUUCUGAUCAAAGGCUCAGUGCUUUCCUUGAAUGUUUCCUUAUGAGGAUACAUUUUAAAGAUGGAGGGAUCUAGAAUAAAACUGAUCUGGGGCCCA
rnacentral:lncRNA from 1 species